rnacentral:miRNA from 1 species
UUGCUGGUGGAGGGAGCUGAG